CGAAGAAUUGGUUAUGAGAUUAUAAGACUCAGAUUCCUGGUCUUGGUGAUUCAUUGAAUCCUAUAAUUCUACAAAUAGGUAUCGCGGGAGCUUAUAGAUUUUAGAAUUAGAAGCAUCAAAAUGACCUAUCUCAUAAAAUUGGAAUUCGAAUUCUGGGAAUCAUUAAUGGAAUUUGAGAUUGAAACAAUGAUUAUCACAAAAUAAAUAGAAAUUGCCAAGAGGAUUCUCGGUUGAUGUGAAAGAUUAGGGUUUUUGAUUUGUAAUUUGAGAGGCUUUCAUUGAAGAUUGGUGGUGGCAGAGAUUUAGUGAAGUUGAACGGUUUAAGAAUGGAAAGCACAGACCUGGUCAACGGAGUUGCAGGAGAAAAAAAUAGCAUCUUCUUAACUAAUAACGGUGAUGUAACGCGAAAUCAUCCCAGAGGAACCCUUCGUCUUCUGUGCGCUUCUCUCACAAUAAUC
rnacentral:misc_RNA from 1 species